GCCUUACUGGCCUAAUGGAUAAGGCACUGGUCUCCUAAGCCAAGGACUGUGGGUUUAAGUUCCACCUGGGGUG
rnacentral:tRNA from 1 species